UACGGAGGAGGCUAGCGUUGUUCGGAAUUACUGGGCGUAAAGGGCGCGUAGGCGGCCUGCUAAGUCGAACGUGAAAUCCCCGGGCUCAACCCGGGAACUGCGUCCGAUACUGGUUGGCUUGAAUCCGGGAGAGGGAUGCGGAAUUCCAGGUGUAGCGGUGAAAUGCGUAGAUAUCGGAAGGAACAUCAGUGGCGAAAGCGGCUUCCUGGACCAGUACCGACGUCAGGCACGAAAGCGUGGGGAGCAAACAGG
rnacentral:rRNA from 1 species